GGGAUGGCGAGCGGCCUCAGCACAAGACCCUGUGGGUUCAGCGGUGCGCGGGAUGCGGGUCCGCCUCUGGCGUGCGAUGGACCACGUGGCCUUGAAUUGAGUGGCCGCCGCCGCUGUGCUGAUUCAUCCCCAGAACAACAAAGCGAUGCGCAGGUGGCCCCAUCGGAGCUGCUGGCGCCCCUCCCUGAGGCCCGGCCCCUCAGAGCCCUCAGCACCUUCGCAUGUAGCAGGCGUUUGCAAGCAUCUGGCAAGACUGCCAGCUUGGUGAUGCAAUUCAGAGGGGCAUAGGAACCUGGCAGGUGGACGACAGGGCUCGAAAGGAGACAUCGCAUUACAUCUUUCUAUGCUUCUGAUGCUUGAACUAUGUAAAUGUGCUCCCUCUUCAAGAAAUCAAAUACAUUUUAUUUUUAAAAUCAUGGCAAAAAUGUUUGAUUUGGAAAAACAGGAUUAUAUUGAAAUAAGGAAAAUACUGGUUAUAUUGAAAGAAGGUUGCUGAUUAGGAUAAUUAGAGCGGAAGUUGACAUUUGAUGCAGGCACAGUUUGAAGAUGACGGGCUUUGAACUAUUAAUUAUGUUAAAUUGCUUUCUCAGUCAGUUCUACGGUAACUCCCCUGACGAUAUAGACAGCGCCACUGUCUACUGCCCCUUCUGAGGUCUGCACUGGUUGCUGCCAGCAGAACACGGCGUGUCCCACCUGCCAUGCGCUUGGUUGAAAGAUGCUGGCCACAGGGACUCAGGUCCCUCAGUGAUGCCCGAUGGUCUCUGAGUGUCACCCCUCCUCCUUCAACUGCCCUCGGUGGGUGGUCUGAUAGAUGCGGCUGAGAAAAGCAUCUGGGCCUUCAUCUGAAAGAGAUUGUUUCGGUGUGUGGUUUGAAAACUCCGCUGGGCAUCCCCAGACGGAGGCAUCCUGAGAAGGAGCUCCGCUGUUUAAGAGCAUUUUGUUCCUGACGUUUUAAAGCAUAGGUGACAGCUCUCAAUCCGUGGGUUGUCAUCCUCACCUCCAGAAAACCACAUUUCUUAUUGUUUGUGGCACCUAAGUCCCCUUCUCUAGAACUCCCCCUGUGGAAGCGAGCCUUCGGCAGAAUCUCAGAUCCACAGAGCCGGGGCCCCCACCGUCAGCUCUACCAUUUGUACCCAGGUUUGGGAUAGAUGGGAUGCAGACGGAGAUGAGAGAAUUCAGCUACCUCCCACCUCGCAAAAAGCAGCAAAGCAGAUGGUUCAUCCUGACGGACCAGCAGAACUUAGAGGAGCCAAAGCCCCAAAGACAGAGCCGUUCCUAGAACCGGGGAAUUUAGCCGUCCUUCUAGUCCUCCCUUCUGUCAGCCUCAUCCGCAGGACCACUGGCAAGGCUGAUUUCGAAUGAAUCAUCCUCGGCAUUUGCCCCCCUUCAAACUGCUUAUCCGUCACUUCAGGGAACUUGCUCCUUGUCCUCAGCGGCAUGCGGUAUCAGCUCAGACACUGUCCCCAGACCACAGAGUUGAAGAAAAUCCUGCAUUAUGUAUACAUAUACACAUGUGCAUUUAUUUCAAAUUGUCUACGUGUCGAUAAACUCAGCAGCUUGGCAGUGAAGGGCUUUACCACAGCCUUUCGGUCACUUAGCAGCCUGUGUUCGUCCAAGAGAGGUUAGAUGUGUGGCUUAGAGACGACCUUUAAAAAGCACUGAGACAUUCAUUUUCGCCACAGCUCUAGCAGCGUCACUUCUACUUAGGAGACCUGCAUAUUUCUUGACACUUUAAAAUUUUUUUUCUUGAUCCAGUAGCAUAUUGUUUAAAUUUUUUAUUUAUUUUUUAAUUACUCAAUGAAUUUUAUCACGUUCGUAGUUGCACAAUGAUCAUCACAACCCGAUUUUAUAGCAUCCUCGACACCUUCGAACGUUCGUAAACUGUGUUCAUGAUAACAUCUCCUUCUGCUUUAAGACAACGCCGGCCCCUUCAGCGCGUGUGUCUUCAAGGCACAGAGCUAGAGUGUCUUCACUUCUCAUCAAAUCCAGGCACACGCUCGACGGUGAGUGGAAAUCGGGCUUAUGGCCCCCACGCCCAGCGCCCUGGUAGGCAGAGUGAGCGGGCCGCUGAGAAAGAGCUGAGCCGCCACACCUUGCCCAGGCGGUGGCCCCAGACCCACACCCUUCUCGUCGGGUCCGCAAUCCUCGAUCUGCUGCUCGGAAAUCAAAGGGCCCUGGAAAGCAAGACUUUUCAGUGGCAUAUCUGGUCCUCACGCUGAUGGUCCCAUCUCACCAAGUGGGACUCUUAAUAGCCGGGUUGCAGGUGCUGCCCCAGACCCACUGCAGGUGUGAGGUGAGGGCAUGUGCUCCCCCAGUAGGUUUCUAAAACCAAAACGUCUAACCUUUGAAACCCAUCUGGCGCCAAAGCUUUUUGGAUAAGGAAUCGUGAACUGCACAUUUCCUUAUAACACUAAAGACAUUCUCAAAGUCAGCGGGGGUGGUGGCAGGUUUAACAUACUCUCUCCUGUAUGGGCGGCUGGAUGUGCUCACAACACCUUGUGCAAAAUUAUAACACGUAGCACAAC
rnacentral:lncRNA from 1 species